rnacentral:antisense_RNA from 1 species
AAUAACCAAAUAUGAUACUCGGGCUAAGGGUCAAGUUGGUAAUUUUUCUUACAUCUCCCCUUCCCGGAGCCCAGGUAUCAUAUACGCCCCCAAAAUAAAGAGCCUUAAAUACUAGAAGAAAAGCGUAUAGAUCUAACAAGAUUAAGUGAAUACCUAGUGUUGAUUUGGAUAAAAUGUGCAGGGUUCCUCCA